rnacentral:rRNA from 1 species
UAGGGAAUCUUCCGCAAUGGACGCAAGUCUGACGGAGCAACGCCGCGUGAGUGAAGAAGGAUUUCGGUUCGUAAAACUCUGUUGUUAGAGAAGAACAGCGCAUAGAGUAACUGUUAUGCGUGUGACGGUAUCUAACCAGAAAGCCACGGCUAACUACGUGCCAGCAGCCGCGGUAAUACGUAGGUGGCAAGCGUUGUCCGGAUUUAUUGGGCGUAAAGCGAGCGCAGGCGGUCAAUUAAGUCUGAUGUGAAAGCCCCCGGCUCAACCGGGGGGGGUCAUUGGAAACUGGUUGACUUGAGUGCCAAAGAGGAGAGUGGAAUUCCAUGUGUAGCGGUGAAAUGCGUAGAUAUAUGGAGGAACACCAGUGGCGAAGGCGACUCUCUGGUCUGUAACUGACGCGGAGGCUCGAAAGCGUGGGUAGCAAACAGG